rnacentral:precursor_RNA from 1 species
AAUUCCUGCGUAAAGGUACCGGCCGAAGCUGUGGGAUGUCU